rnacentral:rRNA from 1 species
GGAGUUUGGGCCGUGUCUCAGUCCCAAUGUGGCCGUUCAACCUCUCAGUCCGGCUAUUGAUCGUCGUCUUGGUGGUCCGUUACACCGCCAACUAACUAAUCAAACGCGGGUCCAUCUCGUAGCGAUGAAUCUUUUCCCCCUGGACCAUGCGGUCCUGUGGGCUUAUGCGGUAUUAGCAGUCGUUUCCAACUGUUGUCCCCCUGUACAAGGUAGGUUACCCACGCGUUACUCACCCGUCCGCCACUCAGUCAACAAAUCGUCACCCCGAAGGGAUCGUGAUAAGUUGCUUCGUUCGACUUGCAUGUGUUAAGCACGCCGCCAGCGUUCAUCCUGAGCCAAGAUCAAACUCU